CUCAGCUGUCUUUCACAAGAAUUGUGUUGUUAUCUACAAGACUAUUACAGUCUUUUUUCGGAGCAACUUCUAACAGCUAGUUGUGAAUGGUUUAAAAAGUAGGAGAUUACUAAAAUCCUAAUUUGGGGGGUUUUAUAAAAAGAGAAAAACAAAACAGGACCAAAGUCUAUGUGCCUUCUUCAGUAGUCUUAAUUGACCUUUUCUUCCUAUUUGAGACUAAGGUAGUAUCAGUAUUCUGAUUUUCAGGAAGUAUGUACUAUGUAGUUUUAAGAGAAUGUUAUCCCACAAACUAGUCAUACAAGCAAAUAAUUGUAACUCUGUAAAUGCAUUCUCUGUUACACUUUUGCCUUGAUCACAUAAUAUUCAUUAUAGAGCUUUUGCUGGUUCAAGAACAGAACUGCUCUAAAUCUUUGUGGUAGUCACCUUAGUUUUUGAAAUCUGAGGCAUAUGUUCCAGAGAACAGGGAUAUUUGUCUGGUCCAGUGACCUUGGUGAUAAUGGUGAUGAUUGAAAGCUGCUUAAGGCAAGCUCAACACUGUCAACAGAUUUUUGUUGUUGUUAUUUUUCACUUGUUGGAUUUAUAUAGUAGUUGUAAUAACAUAUUUAAAUAGCUAUUUUUUGGUGUCAUUUAAAAAAAAUCAUACUCUGGCCUUUUUUUCCAUUUCCAUUAUUGUUACCCAGAUCUUUAAAAAAUUCAUCCCACAUCUAGAAAGUACUAAUUAUAAAGAUUGUUGACCAGGCAAAGUUUUACAUCAAAAUGUCACCUCAUUGCUCUGACCAAAGACUGACUGUUCUGGUUUUAACUCCUCUAUCAAGCAUUUUCCCCGAGCUCCUUUCUGAAAGACCCAGUGCAAAGCGGCCUUUACUUCCUAUUUCCUAUUAGUGAAUAGACUACUUAAAGAAAUGGGAGUUUAAACAUGAACAGAAUGGACUAGGAUGACAAGAGUUUGAUGGGCAUUUUCAGUACUGUAUUCAGAAAAAAUAAAUAGCACAGCUAGGAGCCUCUGACAUUGUCUUGUGUUUUACGCGGUCUGUUCAUAAAAUUCCCUUUUUCAGUUUGUAAGAAUGUUCACCUAACAGAAGAAAAUGCUGUAAAUAUUUGUAACAACUUUUUUUUAACCAGGCCAAAAAAGAAAAAAAAGGUUUUGGGAACAAGUUAACAUAUAAAGUGGUUUUAUAUAAAACAUCAAUUGUCUUGUAUAUUUUGAUAAGCAGCAGUACCAGCUUUCAUUUGUAAUACGGUUUGUGGCAUUGGAAGAAAAGGAUUCUGUGAUCGUUGAAGUGAAUUAUGUUAUAAAUGCAAAGAGAAGAUAAAAUAUUAAAAGCAUAUUUUCUAAAUGCGUAGUGCAUGGUUAAUUCAAGCUUCUGUACUCUACAGUAUAUUCCAUUUUCCUGCAGUUUGUAUAUUUGCUAUUACUUGAUAUCUCUAAUCUCUUUUCCUAACAAUAUAGCAUUGUAGCAUGCCUUUUAAUAAAUGUCAUAACAUCUGUAG
rnacentral:lncRNA from 1 species